AGCAGCCGCGGUAAUUCCAGCUCCAAUAGCGUAUAUUAAAGUUGUUGCAGUUAAAAAGCUCGUAGUUGAAUUUCGGGGUUAGUAGGUUGGUCGUGCCACUGGUAUGUACUGGUUCUACUGAUCCCUCCUUCUUGUAGAACCGUAAUGCCAUUCACUUGGUGUUGCGGGGAAACAGGACUGUUACUUUGAAAAAAUUAGAGUGUUUAAAGCAGGCUAACGCUUGAAUACAUUAGCAUGGAAUAAUGAAAUAGGACGUUCGAUCCUAUUUUGUUGGUUUCUAGGAUUGACGUAAUGAUUAAUAGGGAUAGUUGGGGGCAUUAGUAUUCAAUUGUCAGAGGUGAAAUUCUUGGAUUUAUUGAAGACUAACUACUGCGAAAGCAUUUGCCAAGGAUGUUUUCAUUAAUCAAGAACGAAAGUUAGGGGAUCGAAGACGAUCAGAUACCGUCGUAGUCUUAACCAUAAACUAUGCCGACUAGGGAUCGGAUGAUGUUAAUUUUUUUAAUGACUCAUUCGGCGCCUU
rnacentral:rRNA from 1 species